AGACUGGCCAUUCAGGAUUGAUCUUUCACGUUUCAAACUAUACUACCAACCGGUGAACAGGGUAAUGAAGGUGGUUAUAUCGAAGACCGGAGGAAUUCGAAGGCAAAUAGACCACAGGACCAUGGCGCCCGGGGAAGCCACUCCUCGUUACGUAACAUGUGUAAAGAGAAAGCAAGAAGAAAGAACGAGCAUCGUUCCGCGAUGACUUUCUCGCGCGUUUCGGACGGCGAGUGCGUUACGUUAACGUUACGUCGCAACGCCAUUCCUCGCGAUACAACAAUUAACAACUCGACGGCGGCGGGAGAGGUCGGUGGAAGAGGCUCGCUAUCGUAGAUUCAACAUUCCACGCCCACAUUUACUUUUUCGCUUCUUCCUUUCGCGGAUAUCUGUGCACAUUCACCCCGAUGCUGAACAUUUCAGGAGGACGUUGGCGUAAUGUAAAAAUAUGAAUGAUGACAUCUGUUUCGACUCUCGACGCUCGAUGGCCGAAUGAUUCCGAGAGUCUACGAACGACACUCGGCUUUUGCUUAGCUCCUAUUGGCUAAGAGUUGACGACGGGAACAUCAUACGAAAAAUACCGUUUCAGACAGAUUCAUGACAUGAUAUUACGAUAUCUCAGUUGUUAGGUUAGAAUGGACCAUCUCUCCUGUAGAAGAUACGUGGUAGCUUCAACGCCAGAUACGCGGUGACGGAUAAUUUUUCAUAUACUUGGCGCCGAGACGCUACCGCGUCUCUAGAUCUCUAGAAAUACUAUGCCAGAUCU